rnacentral:rRNA from 1 species
UUGAACGCUGGCGGCAGGCCUAACACACGCAAGUCGAGAGGUUGAGGUAGCUUGUUACCGAAGCAGCGGCGAACGGGUGAGUAACGCGUGGGAAUCUGCACAGUAGUGGGGGACAACAGUCGGAAACGACUGCUAAUACCGCAUACGCCCUACGGUGGAAAGGGGGGGAUCUUCGGACCUCUCGCGAUUGGAUGAGCCCGCGUCUGAUUAGCUAGUUGGUAGGGUAAAGGCAUACCAAGGCGACGAUCCGUAACUGGUCUGAGAGGAUGAUCAGUCACACUGGAACUGAGACACGGUCCAGACUCCUACGGGAGGCAGCAGUGGGGAAUAUUGGACAAUGGGGGCAACCCUGAUCCAGCCAUGCCGCAUGUGUGAAGAAGGCCUUAGGGUUGUAAAGCACUUUCAGUGGGGAGAAAGGUGGUUCACCUAAUACGUGAGCCAAUUGAUGCUACCCACAGAAGAAGCACCGGCUAACUCCGUGCCAGCCGCCGCCGUAA